GACCUAGAAAAAUCUAAUUGCACGUGUUCGCUUUGUAAUUAUAUCUAUAUUGAUGUUUUUACGCUAAUAUAACCAUUGGAUGUUUUCGGAGGUCAACUCAAUAGUUAACUAGAUGGCGUCAGUACUAAAAUACACGUGAAACAAAAGCUAAAUAUUAUCGGGCUUUGCCCUGUAAAUAGUUUUUAGAUUUAUAUAAUUUGGAUAAAUGUUUUACAUUGUACAUUGUUAUCAAUCAAAU
rnacentral:lncRNA from 1 species